UAAAAAUUCGAAAUCUAAAUUAGGAGAGAUUGAAGGAAAAAGUGGGAGUGGCUUAUCACAAUUUAGAUGGAAUCUCUAAGUUGAUUUUGAUGGUCAAAUUAAAAGCUACCUGCUGGAAAUCUAGAAGAAAGUAAGAAGGAAGAAGAGCAGCAAAUCUUAAUGAUCUUUGGUGAGAAAAAUCAAAGGGAUUAGGGCCUUUAAAUAGGGUUUCAAUGGGGAGGAUUUUGAGUUUGAUUUAAACUCUAUUUCUUAGUGAUUUUAGGACUUGGAUCGAAGAAGAAACUCCUUCAAGAGUUUACGUGCUCACCGCCCCCCUUCCACGCUAUUUUCCAGCACAUGCAGUGCACAUGCUGGUUCUUCUCUUUCUUUUUUUUUUACUGCUUCAAGAUUUGUGCAAGGGAUUUGGGGUAUCACAAUGGAUUUUGUGGAAUCAUACCUCAAGUCCCACAAUUGAGAUUGCUUCACGGUAAUGUGUGUAUUUUCUCACCGAUCGAAAGUAUCAUCAUGUGAUUGGACGAACAUCCGUAUGUUCACAACCAAAUAUGCCCCUUGAUCACUUUGGA
rnacentral:lncRNA from 1 species